UAGUAGAGACAGGGUUUCACCAUGUUGGCCAGGCUGGUCUUGGAUUCCUGACUCAGACGAUUCACCCACCUCAGCCUCCCAAAGUGUUGGGAUUACAGGCGUGAGCCACUGCGCCUGGCCCUAAAUUUUUUUUUAAUGGAGGCGGCACAUCCUUUCAGGAUCAUGAGUGAGGCUUGCUGACAAACACCAUGAUCUCUCUCUGUUACCCCAGCCAGCAGCCUCCCGCACCUCCUUGAAGUCAUGUCUGCACUGGCCCCACCUUCUUUUUUUAUGUUUUAUUUAUUUAUUUAAAUUUUUGUUGUUGUUUUUGUUUUGUUUUGUUUUUUUGAGACAGAGUCUCACUCUGUCGCCCAGGCUGGAGUGCAGUGGCGCGAUCUCAUAUCACUGCAACCUCCACCUCCCGGGUUCAAGCGAUUCUCCUGCCUCACCCUCCCAAGUCUCUGGAAUUACAGUUGCCCACCACCAGGCCUGGCUGAUUUUUGUAUUUUUAGCAGAGACAGCAUUUCAUCAUGUUGGCCAGGCUGGUCUCAAACUCCCAACCUCAGGUGAUCCGCCCACUUCGGCCUCCCAAAGUACUGGGAUUACAGGCACGAGCCACCUCGACUGGCUACCUUCUUUUUUUAUGUUUUAUUUAUCCAUUUUCUUAAAAGACAGGGUCUUGGCCAGGUGCGGUGGCUUACGCCUGUAAUCCCAGCACUUUGGGAGGCCAAGGCGGGCGGAUCACCUGAGGUCGGGAGUUUGAGACCAGCCUGACCAACAUGGAGAAACCUCAUCUCUAAUAAAAAUACAAAAUUGGCCGGGCGUGGUGGCUCACGCCUGUAAUCCCAGCACUUUGAGAGGCCGAGGCGGGCAGAUCACGAGGUCAGGAGAUCGAGACCAUCGUGGCUAACAUGGUGAAACCCCGUCUCUACUAAAAAAUACAAAAAAAAUUAGCCAGGCGUGGUGGUGGGAGCCCAUAGUCCCAGCUACUUGGGAGGCUGAGGCAGAAGAAUGGCGUGAACCCGGGAGGCGGAGCUUGCAGCGAGCCCAGAUCGCACCACUGCACUCCAGCCUGGGUGACAGAGCGAGACUCUGUCUCAAAAAAAAUAAAAAUAAAAAUAAAAAUAAAAUAAAUAAAUAAAUAUACAAAAUUAGCCGGGCGUGGUGGCACAUGCCUGUAAUCCCAGCUACUCGGGAGGCUGAGGCAGGAGAAUGGCUUGAACCCAGGAGUCGGAGGUUUCAGUGAGCCGAGAUCAUGCCAUUGCACUCCAGCUUGGGCAACAAGAGCAAAACUCUGGCUCAAAAAAAAGAAAGACAGGGUCUUCGUCUCGCUCUGUCACCUAGGCUGGAGUGCAGUGGCACGAUCAUAGCUGACUGUAACCUCCAAUUCCUGGGCUCAAGCCAUGCUCCCUCCUCAGCUUCCUGAGUAGCUAGAACUAUAAGGCAUAUGCCACCAUGCCUUUCUAAUUUUAUUAUUUUAUUUUUAUUUAUUUAUUUUUUUGAGACAGGGUCUCACUCUGUCACCCAGAGUGCAGUGGUGCAACCUCAGUUCACUGCAGCCUUGACUUCCUGGGCUCAAGUGAUCCUCCUACCUCAGUCUCCCGAGUAGCUGAGACCACAGGUGUGCGCCACCACGCCCAGCUAAUUUUUGCAUUUUUUUUUUUUUGUAGAGUUGAGGUUUCACCAUGUUGCCCAGGCUGGUCUUGAGCUUCUGAGCUCAAGCAAUCUGUCCACCUCAGCCUCCUAAAGUGCUGGGAUUACAAGCAUGAGCCACCACGCCGGGCCCUUUUAUUUAUUUAUUUAUAUUUUUAGAGAUAAGGUCUCACUCUGUCGCCCAGGCUGAAAUGCAGUGGCGCAAUCAUAGCUCACUGCAGCCUCAACCUCCUGGGUCAAAUGAGCCUCGUACCUCAGCCUCCAGAGUAGCUGGGACCACAGGUGUAUGCCAGUACACCUGGCUAAUUUUGUAAAAAAAAUUUGGUAGAGACAGAGUCUCACUAUAUUGUUCAGGCUGGUCUUGAACUCCAGGCCUCAAGUGAUUCUCCCACUUCAGCCUCCCAAAGUGCUGGGAUCACAGGUGUGAGCCACCAUACCUAGUGUAUAUCUUGAUUAUAGGGGUAUCUUAGGAGGAUUACAUUUGCCAAAACUCAUUGAACUGGGCAUUUAACAUGGAUGUGCCAUUGGAUGUAAAUUAUGUCUUAUUAAAGCUGGUUUACUAAGGCUGGGCGCGGUGGCUCACGCCUGUAAUCCCAGCACUUUGG
rnacentral:lncRNA from 10 species